rnacentral:tRNA from 1 species
AAAUAAGAAGUAAAACUUUACAUAUUAAUUUCGACUUAAUAAUAGAUCAUUAAAAUCCUUAUUUA